rnacentral:rRNA from 1 species
GCAGUCGAACGGUAACAGGCCUUCGGGUGCUGACGAGUGGCGAACGGGUGAGUAAUGCAUCGGAACGUGCCCAAUCGUGGGGGAUAACGUAGCGAAAGUUACGCUAAUACCGCAUACGCCCUGAGGGGGAAAGCAGGGGAUCUUCGGACCUUGUGCGAAUGGAGCGGCCGAUGUCAGAUUAGCUAGUUGGUGGGGUAAAGGCCCACCAAGGCGACGAUCUGUAGCGGGUCUGAGAGGAUGAUCCGCCACACUGGGACUGAGACACGGCCCAGACUCCUGCGGGAGGCAGCAGUGGGGAAUUUUGGACAAUGGGCGCAAGCCUGAUCCAGCCAUGCCGCGUGCGGGACGAAGGCCUUCGGGUUGUAAACCGCUUUCAGCCGGAAAGAAAUCGUCAAGGCUAAUAUCCUUGAUGGAUGACGGUACCGGAAGAAGAAGCACCGGCUAACUACGUGCCAGCAG